rnacentral:rRNA from 1 species
UAGGGAAUCUUCCGCAAUGGGCGAAAGCCUGACGGAGCAACGCCGCGUGAGUGAUGAAGGUCUUCGGAUCGUAAAACUCUGUUAUUAGGGAAGAACAAAUGUGUAAGUAACUAUGCACGUCUUGACGGUACCUAAUCAGAAAGCCACGGCUAACUACGUGCCAGCAGCCGCGGUAAUACGUAGGUGGCAAGCGUUAUCCGGAAUUAUUGGGCGUAAAGCGCGCGUAGGCGGUUUUUUAAGUUUGAUGUGAAAGCCCACGGCUCAACCGUGGAGGGUCAUUGGAAACUGGAAAACUUGAGUGCAGAAGAGGAAAGUGGAAUUCCAUGUGUAGCAGUGAAAUGCGCAGAGAUAUGGAGGAACACCAGUGGCGAAGGCGACUUUCUGGUCUGUAACUGACGCUGAUGUGCGAAAGCGUGGGGAUCAAACAGG